GCCAGGUGUGGUGGUGCACGCCUGUAAUCCCAGUGGCUUAGGAGGCUGAGGCAGGAGGAUUGCAAGUUCAAAGCCAGCCUCAGUGAAAGCGAGGCCUUAAGCAACUCAGUGAGACCCUGUCUCUA
rnacentral:sRNA from 1 species